AUUGUAUUAGCCAGGGCUUUAUACCUAAUAGCUGGUACAUAGUAGGAGAUGAAUAAAAAUGUAUCAAAGAAAUGAAACAUCUUCUUUCACGGUUCAAAUACCUUACCUCAACACAGUGGAAAAAAUGAAACAAAAUUCUUCCCUGUUCAGUGACAAGGUCACUGGCAGUUUAGUGGUUCAUAACCAGGGAAUAUAGAUACACUUGGCUCUUUCCACCUGUUAGGAACUGGCUUUCAGAAUGAAGCUCCACCAACUGAUCUCUUUCUGGAGCCUUUUGUUUUUUGAUUGCUGCAGAGCUCAUCAGAACCUCUUUAGUCAUUUAUGUCUUCCUCUUGUUAUCCUUACAGAUGAAAUAUGUCAGGAAGGACUCUCAUGGAGGUGUUCAUCUCCCCACUGGGUAAAAAGUGAAAUACCAUUGAAAAGGUGUCCUUAUAAAAGAGAGAAAGAGAUUUCUUUCACAAUGAAGAGAAGGCAGUAUGAAGACAGAGCAAAGAAGACUGAAAGUGCUGCCUUUGACGAUUCAACUGAUGGGGCCAUAAACCGAGAAAUGCGGACAGCUUUCAGAAACUGCAAGAAGCAAGGAAUGGAUCCUCUUCUACAGACUCUACAUGUGUGGCCCAGCAGACAUAUCGGAAUUUUGGUCCAGUGAUAACUGAUUCUGAACUCUGACUUCCAGAAUAAGGAGAAAAUAAA
rnacentral:lncRNA from 1 species